AACGAACGCUGGCGGCAGGCUUAACACAUGCAAGUCGAGCGCCCCGCAAGGGGAGCGGCAGACGGGUGAGUAACGCGUGGGAAUCUACCCAUCUCUACGGAAUAACGCAUGGAAACGUGUGCUAAUACCGUAUACGUCCUUCGGGAGAAAGAUUUAUCGGAGAUGGAUGAGCCCGCGUUGGAUUAGCUAGUUGGUGGGGUAAAGGCCUACCAAGGCGACGAUCCAUAGCUGGUCUGAGAGGAUGAUCAGCCACACUGGGACUGAGACACGGCCCAGCCUCCUACGGGAGGCAGCAGUGGGGAAUAUUGGACAAUGGGCGGAAUCCUGAUCCAGCCAUGCCGCGUGAGUGAUGAAGGCCCUAGGGUUGUAAAGCUCUUUCACCGGUGAAGAUAAUGGCGGUAACCGGAGAAGAAGCCCCGGCUAACUUCGUGCCAGCAGCCGCCGUAAAAC
rnacentral:rRNA from 1 species